UGAUGAUAAUGAGGCCAUCUCAUCAACAAUGAUUUGAACAUGUACCAUGCUUGGUAUAAAUUCUCACCAUCCUUCUGUAUAAUACUUAAAAUGUCACUCCUCAAUUU
rfam:Solanum lycopersicum cultivar Heinz 1706 chromosome 9, whole genome shotgun sequence.